GUCCACCUGGAGUUAUCUUUGUACUCCCCCAUUCUUACAUCGUUCCACAAAAGGAGUAUGGAGGUAUUUAACAUGUACUUUUGUUUGUUUGUUACAAUAUCUAUUUAUUGUGUACUCAGUCGCAUUUAAAUCCAAUGAUUUUUAGAGAACUAGAUUAUAUCAUAGACUAUAGUUGGACCUGUGUAGCACUUAUUUAUUUAUUCAAGUGCUGUAGGAUUAAAAAAAUAAUAAAAUUAAAAUAGAAAAACCUGAGACUUUCUCUUCAAUUAUCAGGGGAUAAAUACAUUGAUGGAACAUUCAUUCCAAGGCCACCUGUUUUAAGUGCCGUUUCUGACGAAGAAAUGCCCUUCGACGCCUCUUGCUAUUUCAGAAGCUGUGCCAAACAAUCCUUGACGGUGGCCAUAAUAUCUCCCUGCAAUCCACCAACAGUCUCCUCCAGUGUCCACACAAGAAACUGCGGUAACCCCAGUCCCUUUCUUGGUCAUCAUUACUUUUUGGUACUCCUUUGAUAUACACAGCAAUAUGGAUGAAUUUUUUUUUUUCCAUAGGCCACUUGUAUUGAAUUUGGAAAAAUCAAGUCUAGCUUUCGAGAGGCUAGGAAUUCUCCAUGAGCAAGGCUCAAUUACAAAAUACCAAAAUGAAUCCCACUGGUUCUACGCAGUACACUAAUUAAGCAACAUUCUCUCCAAUCCCAAGGCCUAACCGAAAAAGGAAUUAUCCCCAAACUACCCUUGCUGAAACAAAUAAAGGAAAUACAUAGAAAAACAAUUACAGUUAUGGAAUUCUUUUCUUGUCUCAUAUCACUGAAGAUAUUUCUGAUUCCCUUACCUUUUCAGAUGGUGUUCCAAAAGAUGGACUCAGGAUACAGGAUGUUCUUGUUCAGAUUGCAGUUCUGAUGCUAGCAAGGGAAAAAGUUAAGUUUGCUUUAGAAAAUCCAGGAGCUCCACUUUAUGCAGAUGACAUUCAGUUGCGCUACCAAGGAUAGAAGGGUGGAAAGUUUUGGAAGGAAGAGCAUGAUUUAUUAUUACUGCGUGCUGUACUAAAGUAUGCAUCAUCAUGGGCAGCACAAUGGUGACCCUUUUUUUAGCUUCACAAUUGACUGCAUUGCUUUUGUUUUGUUUUUCUUUCCUUUAAAAAUCAACACUUGUAUUAUUAAUUAUGAAAUUAAUACAAGAGUCAAAACAUCCCAUAAAGUGUUGCAUCUCCUGAUGUCGAUUUCUUACAGCUGCAUGAAUGCAGAUGCAGUCACACAUACACACACUGACAUACACAAGUUAGCCAAGUAAUGUAUUUUUUCACUAGUUUCUUGCUAGUUUUUAAUGCAGUUUAAGUGUUACAUGCUUGGUAAUUUAGAGUGCUAAUUCGGUUGGAUGAGAGUUUUGUUACAGAGUUCAGCACAGAUUUUGCUAUAGUAGACCAGUAUUUUUCUAUGUUUUUGAUAGACCCCAGGAGUGAUAAAUAAAAGGGGCAUAUGGGUCAUUGUAGUGACGGAAAGGGGCAUAUGAAUAAUUGUAGUGAGGGGUAAUGAAUGGGUGGGAAUGUGAUAGUAUAAAUGGGAGGAGGGUAAGAAGAAUAAAGAGGGCAUGAGAAUGGGAGAGUUGAGGUCUCACGAAUACCUCAUUGUUGCACUUUGUUAUUUCCAUUGUCUUAUAUCCUCAUUUUCUCUCUGUUCUUGCCUAUUAUCUUUGUCAUGGUUUGAGAUCCUAGUUAGGGUACAUCAGUUUUCCUGCAGUUAUUUAAUGUUUUAUAACCCAUGUGUGUGUAUAUUUCCUGGGGCGAAGUGCAUAACAUUGUCAGAUGUACGUUGACCAUUGAGCAUACAAACACAUUUCACAACCUGUUUUAAGUGGCAUAUUUUGGUUCUUUAGCAGUUGGUUUACAUGGUAGUACAUCAUGUACCCUACUUUUUCUCUGCUUUUUCCCUAAAAGUUUAGGAGUUAUUUUAAUUUCAACUUAAUGGAAAGUGACUUGCUACGCGAGACUUUGAUAAUUUUGACAAUGUACAAGUAUAUUGAGAUAAAUUUCUGUGGAGCAAUACUAGACAAGUGCCCUACCAGCUGUCAUGUUCUUCUUCUCUGUGUAUUUCUCAAAACCUCAUCUAUGGUUUUUAGUUUUCAGUUUCAUAUUAAUAAAUAUAUAUAUAUAUAUAUAUUUGUUGAAAUACAUAUGUUUAUUGUUUUUACUAUAUACAUUUACAUAUAAAUAUAUAUAUUAUACUAUUGUUGGAAAGGAAGGGAAGAUGGCAGAUUUUUAUGAUUUUCCCUCUUAAAUGUAUUAAAUUUAGGUAUAUGUAAUUCAUAGAUUGAAUAUUACAUUAAAUUAACGUCGUGGCUUAUGCAUGCAUGAUGAAUAAUUAGAAUAGGUCUUAUCCCCUUAUUUUUGUGUGCAUGGUAUUGCUCAAAGCAUCAGACCUCUCUCUUAUACAUUCUUGAGAAAAGCAAACUAUGACUGAAUAGUUGUACCUAUGGUAGUUGUACAUAAUCAUUAUCUUAUUCUUUUCUAAUCAUUUGCUUGUUCCUUUUUUAACACACACGUACUGAUUUUAUUUCUAACUUUUACUUGCAUGAUACUAAUUUCUUCACCGUGAACUUUUGAAUCUUGAUUUAUCAAAUUGUCAAUGAUUUGAACAAAGUUCAUCUUGAUACAUUCUGUAGUCUCAUUAAGAGGCAUGCUUGCUAUUAAUCAUCUUGUGUCUAUAAAUACUAAGAAAUAAUCAUGGAUUGAUGCGGCCCAUUUUUCAUGUUUUAGAGAAUUAGGAAAUUCCAGCUAGUCAUGGGAAAGAUGUGACAUAUCCCUUCACUAUACGAGGUUGUUAGGUUGAAACAGAGAGACACCGCUCCGAGCUUGCAAAAGUUGGUGUUGAAUUGGAACCUUGGGAAAAACAACUUAUUGAGCACAAGGGAAAACUUGAAGUUGCAUCUACCGAGAAUAAGCUUUUGAGUGAAAAGGAAGCUGCUCGUGCAGCUUUUGAAGAUGCGGAAAAGCAGAUGGAAGACAUAUUGGGAGCUAUUGAAACAAAAGCAUUGGAAGCUGAUAAAGUGGAACAAGUUCGUGUUUUAAUGAUGUACAGGGAGGGGCUCAGCAGGGACGGUGGCUGGGCGCGGGGCUGGCUGGUGGGGUUCACAACUUCAUGGCGGCAGCAGUGAUCUUGAAAGGAGCAAACUCGAAGCAUUGGAAGCUCAUAAAGUGGAACAAGUUCGUGUUUUAAUGAUGUACAGGGAGGGGCUCGGCAGGGACGGUGGCUGGGCACGAGGCUGGCUGGUGGGGUUCUCAACUUCACAGCGACAGCAGUGAUCUUGAAAGGAGCAAACUCGAAGCAUUGGAAGCUCAUAAAGUGGAACAAGUUCGUGUUUUAAUGAUGUACAGGGAGGGGCUCGGCAGGGACGGUGGCUAGGCGCGGGGCUGGCUGGUGGGGUUCUCAACUUCACGGCGGCAGCAGGUAUAUUGAGAUGAUUUCUUUGGAGAAAUUCUUGACAACAUUUGUAGUUGAGGCCUUUAGAAUGGAAGAAUGUAUUUCACUAAUUUUUGUAUACAUUUCUUGUUUUGUAUUUAGUGAUAAAGGAAUCUGAAUUGGACAUAAAUUAUGUUGUAAUAUGAUUUCUUAAGCCUAGACUAGUAGGCUAAAUAUUGUAAUUGCAUUUGAGUAAUUAAUAAAAAUCUA